rnacentral:rRNA from 1 species
GCAUAUCAUAAGCGGAGGAAAAGAAACCAACAGGGAUUGCCCUAGUAACGGCGAGUGAAGCGGCAACAGCUCAAAUUUGAAAUCUGGCUCUUUUAGAGUCCGAGUUGUACUUUGCAGAGGGCGCUUUGGCUUUGGCAGCGGUCCAAGUUCCUUGGAACAGGACGUCACAGAGGGUGAGAAUCCCGUACGUGGUCGCUGGCUAUUGCCGUGUAAAGCCCCUUCGACGAGUCGAGUUGUUUGGGAAUGCAGCUCUAAAUGGGAGGUACAUUUCUUCUAAAGCUAAAUAUUGGCCAGAGACCGAUAGCGCACAAGUAGAGUGAUCGAAAGAUGAAAAGCACUUUGGAAAGAGAGUCAAACAGCACGUGAAAUUGUUGAAAGGGAAGCGCUUGCAGCCAGACUUGCUUGCAGUUGCUCAUCCGGGCUUUUUUGCCCGGUGCACUCUUCUGUAGGCAGGCCAGCAUCAGUUUGGGCGGUAGGAUAAAGGUCUCUGUCACGUACCUCCUUUCGGGGAGGCCUUAUAGGGGAGGCGACAUACUACCAGCCUGGACUGAGGUCCGCGCAUCUGCUAGGAUGCUGGCGUAAUGGCUGUAAGCGGCCCGUCUUGAAACACGGACCAAGGAGUCUAACAUCUAUGCGAGUGUUUGGGUGUCAAGCCCGAGCGCGUAAUGAAAGUGAACGGAGGUGGGAACCCGCAAGGGUGCACCAUCGACCGAUCCUGAUGUCUUCGGAAGGAUUUGAGUAAGAGCAUGGCUGUUGGGACCCGAAAGAUGGUGAACUAUGCUUGAAUAGGGUGAAGCCAGAGGAAACUCUGGUGGAGGCUCGCAGCGGUUCUGACGUGCAAAUCGAUCGUCAAAUU